AAUUUUUGGGUCAAUUAGCCUACCGGGCUGAACCAGCCAACUUUGGAAGGAAAUGUUAUAGCCAUAGGUUACUUGUUUCAUUAAUGAUGCAAGCCUCGGACUAUUUGAAUAAAUUUUAGGUAGAAUUAUGAUAAUGACAUUGUUCUGCCUAUGUGUCUUGACCAAAAUUACGUGCCAGCAGUCGCGGUAAUACGUAGAAGACUAGUGUUAUUUCAUGUUUAAUCGGUUUAAAGGGUACCUAGACGGUGAAUCAAGCUUUAGAAUAAAGAAGAAAAGGAACUAAUUCGCUAGAGUUACUUACGAGGGGGUAGUAAAGUACUGCUGGUGUAGAGAUGAAAUUCUGUCAUACCUCUUUUCGAAAGAAAAAUUAUGGCACAGGUAUAGGCGAAGGCAUCCCCUUAUGUGAUAACUGACGUUGAGGGACGAAGGCUUCGUGGAACAAACAGGAUUAGAUACCCUAGUAGUUGAAGCAGAAAAUGAUGAAUGUCAUAGAUUAGACGUCUAAGUUUAUUCUAUAAAUGAAAGUGUAAGCAUUCCACCUCAUGAGUAAUUUGGCAACAUUGGAAUUGAAAUCAUUAGACCGUUUCUGAAACCAGUAGUGAAGUAUGUUGUUUAAUUUGAUAAUACGCAAAAAACCUUACCACAAUUUGAAUCUUUAUAUUGUUUAUUGUUAUCUUAUUAAUUUUCUUAAAAAAACUAAUUAUAGCAAAAGCAUUUUAAAACAGGAAAAGAAAAUUAAUCAAGAGGCAAUAACAUAUAUCUACAACCCUCCACGCC
rnacentral:rRNA from 1 species